rnacentral:rRNA from 1 species
ACACUCCUGCGGGAGGCAGCAGUGGGGAAUAUUGCACAAUGGGCGCAAGCCUGAUGCAGCCAUGCCGCGUGUAUGAAGAAGGCCUUCGGGUUGUAAAGUACUUUCAGCGGGGAGGAAGGCGAUAAGGUUAAUAACCUUGUUGAUUGACGUUACCCGCAGAAGAAGCACCGGCUAACUCCGUGCCAGCAGCCGCGGUAAUACGGAGGGUGCAAGCGUUAAUCGGAAUUACUGGGCGUAAAGCGCACGCAGGCGGUCUGUCAAGUCGGAUGUGAAAUCCCCGGGCUCAACCUGGGAACUGCAUUCGAAACUGGCAGGCUAGAGUCUUGUAGAGGGGGGUAGAAUUCCAGGUGUAGCGGUGAAAUGCGUAGAGAUCUGGAGGAAUACCGGUGGCGAAGGCGGCCCCCUGGACAAAGACUGACGCUCAGGUGCGAAAGCGUGGGGAGCAAACAGGAUUAGAAACCCCAGUUGUCCC